rnacentral:tRNA from 1 species
UCAGUGGUGGUUCAGUGGGAGAGCACUUGUCUUCCAUUUGGGAGAACCAGGUUCAAUUCCUGGCCAAUGUA